rnacentral:rRNA from 1 species
UCAGAACGAACGCUGGCGGCAGGCUUAACACAUGCAAGUCGAGCGCCCCGCAAGGGGAGCGGCAGACGGGUGAGUAACGCGUGGGAAUYUACCCUUUUYUACGGAAUAACGCAGGGAAACUUGUGSUAAUACCGUAUGAGCCCUUCGGGGGAAAGAUUUAUCGGGAAAGGAUGAGCCCGCGUUGGAUUAGCUAGUUGGUGGGGUAAAGGCCUACCAAGGSGACGAUCCAUAGCUGGUCUGAGAGGAUGAUCAGCCACAUUGGGACUGAGACACGGCCCAAACUCCUACGGGAGGCAGCAGUGGGGAAUAUUGGACAAUGGGCGCAAGCCUGAUCCAGCCAUGCCGCGUGAGUGAUGAAGGCCCUAGGGUUGUAAAGCUCUUUCACCG